UACGGGGGGAGCAAGCGUUGUUCGGAUUUACUGGGCGUAAAGUGUGCGCAGGCGGCGUUGCAAGUCGAGUGUGAAAUCCCCGAGCUUAACUUGGGAAUUGCGCUCGAAACUACGAUGCUCGAGUGUGGCAGAGGAAGGUGGAAUUCCACGUGUAGCGGUGAAAUGCGUAGAGAUGUGGAGGAACACCGAUGGCGAAGGCAGCCUUCUGGGCCAACACUGACGCUCAUGCACGAAAGCGUGGGGAGCGAACGGG
rnacentral:rRNA from 1 species